GAAUCACCUGUCAUGAGUCGAAAAUGUUUCUUUGCAUUUUCCAAAGGGUUAUUAGGGAAUUCCAUAAUUUGAGACUAUCACGCCGAUGUAACUUGGACAUAUUUUAAAUCAAAUCUUUUCGUAUAAAGUAGAUUGUAAAUUAAUUGAAGUUGAAAACCUCAAAUUUUUUAAAAGCGAGUGAAAAUUGUAGGUACCGUAGAAAGAGCGUAACAUUUUUUGACACAAAUUAUCGAAUGUAAGACUUCUUUUCUAAUUAAUUAUGUAGACUUUAAUAAAUACGAGUAGUAUCAAA